AAUGUCUGGCAAACUGCCUGAUGGAGGGGGAUAACUACUGGAAACGGUAGCUAAUACCGCAUAACGUCGCAAGACCAAAGAGGGGGACCUUCGGGCCUCUUGCCAUCAGAUGUGCCCAGAUGGGAUUAGCUAGUAGGCGGGGUAAUGGCCCACCUAGGCGACGAUCCCUAGCUGGUCUGAGAGGAUGACCAGCCACACUGGAACUGAGACACGGUCCAGACUCCUACGGGAGGCAGCAGUGGGGAAUAUUGCACAAUGGGCGCAAGCCCUGAUGCAGCCAUGCCCGCGUUGUGUGAAGAAGGCCUUUCGGGGUUUGUAAAAGNCACUUUUCAGCGGGGAAGAAAGGCGGUUNCCGGGUUAAAUAAACCCGUGCUGAUUUGGACGUUUACCCCCCANAAAAAAAACCCCCCGGCUAAACCUUCCGUGCCAACAGCCCGCNGGUNAAUNGGGGGNUGCCUUUCNGGGNAACUGUUGAAAACAGGGUUGCUGCAAUGGGCUGUNGUCCAGCUCGGNUUGGUGAAAUGNUUGGGGUUAAAGUCCCCGCAACGAGGCGCAAANCCCUNUAUCCUUUGUUGCCAGCGGUUAGGCCGGGGAAACUCAAAGGAGACUGCCCAGUGAUAAACUGGAGGAAGGUGGGGAUGGACGUCAAGUCAUCAUGGCCCUUACGACCAGGGCUACACACGUGCUACAAUGGCGCAUACAAAGAGAAGCGACCUCGCGAGAGCAAGCGGACCUCAUAAAGUGCGUCGUAGUCCGGAUUGGAGUCUGCAACUCGACUCCAUGAAGUCGGAAUCGCUAGUAAUCGUGAAUCAGAAUGUCACGGUGAAUACGUUCCCGGGCCUUGUACACACCGCCCGUCACACCAUGGGAGUGGGUUGCAAAAGAAGUAGGUA
rnacentral:rRNA from 1 species